AAUUUGUCGGGUAGGGUACAGAGGUAAGAUGUUCUAUCUUUCAGGGCCACGCCACUAUGGCAGGCUAUAGAAAGUAGGCUUAUUUAGCCGCCCCGCUGUUUUGCAGCGGGGCGUUUUUUU
rnacentral:other from 1 species